rnacentral:rRNA from 1 species
UACGUAGGGGGCGAGCGUUGUCCGGAUUUAUUGGGCGUAAAACGCUUGUAGGUGGCUACGUCAAGUCGGACGUGAAAUCUCCCGGCUUAACUGGGAGGGGUCGCUCGAUACUGGCGAGCUCGAGGCAGGUAGGGGGAAGCGGAAUUCCCGGUGUAGUGGUGGAAUGCGUAGAGAUCGGGAGGAACACCCGUGGCGAAGGCGGCCUGCUGGGCCGAUCCUGACGCUGAGGCGCGAAGGCGUGGGGAGCGAACGGG